GAAUUUCUCCGCAUGGCUUCCAGAGAAGUGACCAUUACAGUACGCCUCAUUCGUUCUUUUGAGCAUCGCAAUUUCAAACCUAUAGUGUAUCAUGGAGUUAAUUUGGACCAAACUACAAAGGAAUUUAUAGUAUUUCUAAAGCAAGAUAUUCCUUUGAGGACCAGCCUGCCACCACCAUUCAGAAAUUAUAAAUACGAUAAACUAAAGAUUGUUCAUCAAGCACAUAAAUCAAAGACGAAUGAGCUUGUGUUGAGUUUGGAAGAUGACGACAGACUCAUGCUGAAGGAAGACAGCACGCUGCGAGCCGCUGGAAUCGCUCAUGAAACUGAAAUUGCAUUCUUCUGUGAAGAAGAUUAUAAGAACUACAAAGCUAAUCCCAUUUCAUCCUGGUGAAAACCCUUUGGGGGCUCCCUUUUUGCAUACCUGUCUUAAGCUCCUUAUCCCACUACCCACACAAAUAGCACGACUGAUUUCCCACCCCCCGAGCUGUGUUUCCUUACUCCAGGAGCAAACUAUAAUAGAACCAAACUCAUUUCUUUGGAGAGAAAAGGUAGCAGGAUGUUUGCACUUCUGGAAGAAAAUUGUUCAUUGAGAACAAGUCUAAGUCAUGGAAGGUACAUUUUUUUCAAAAUAAUAUGAUACUCUGGGUUCCCUACAAUGACUACUACCAGUUCCUAAAGAGUCCUGAUUUCAAAGGGGCCUCUUGGACAGCAUAUGGAUCUAAUGAGAACUCCUACGAAGUUAGUCGGCCCUAGAAUUAUUCCAAGAACCCUCAAAAUUGCUAGUAGGACAAAUUGGUUUCAUUGUGGUAGAGGCCAACUUAAAAAAAAAAAAAAUCAGCUUUGAAAGUCUGAUCAACAUAAUCAAAAUACGGUUUUUUGGGGGCUUUGUUGAAAGAUUUAGUAUAGUAGAGCCUUAUUUAAAAGAGAAAGUUUAUUCAUGGUUUCAUUCAUUAAAAAAGGGCUGAAUGGACCAAUGACCCAGGCUCCUGAGGAGUGAAUAAACACUUAAAUAAGACACAGUUUUUGCCUCAGCAAGCGGGGAAAGAUAUUUAAGCAAGUAAUUUUAAUAUAGUAACAGUGGAAGCUGCCAUGGGAACAAUGAUGAUGGGAUAGUUAAUUCUAUAUUCUGUACAGGCUUAGUUUUUAUUUUUAUUUAUUUGUCUUUUUAAAUUUAUUUUAAGAGAGAAGAGAGCUGGGGAGGGGUAGAGAGAGAAUCCCAAGCAAGCUCCAUGCUGUGAAUAUGGAGCCCGAAAUAGGGCUCUGUCCCACAAACUGCAAUCAUGACCUGAGCCAAAAGUAAGAGUUGAACACUUAACCAACUGAGCCACCCAGGUGCCCUGGGUUAAUUUUUAUUUUAAAAGAAGUAUCCGUUGAGCUUUUUCUUAAAAGAUUGAAUAGGAAUUUUUACUUAGUAGAAAAUAAGGGAAAAGCUUUUAGGAAGAGGGACCAGCAUGUGUAAAGGCAAAAUGCUGUUAAAUAACUCGGGAUUUUCUGCAGGAAGUUACAGAUUUCAAUGUACUAGAGUGGAAGGCCCUUGCACCAGAGGGGAGGAAGAGAAGGCCAGAAGGGAGGUUGAGCUAGGCUUUGUCUAUCCUUUAUCUAUCUAAGGAGUUGGAACUUUACCUAGUAGGUAGUAGGGAGCCAAUGGAAAGAUUUAAACAGAUAAAUUAUAGGACUAGAUUUGUAUUUUAGAAAGGGAGCUUUGGCCGCAGCAUCUAGAAGGCAGAAAGACAGUUGUCAUGGACCAGGUAAAAGUCUGGAUGGCCUGACCUCCAGAGUUCGGCACAGGGGAAGGGGAGGGGAGGAGACUUUCUCGCGAGAUAGUGUUGACAUUUUGUCACGCGUUACAUGGCAAGCAUCUUGUGGGGUACUUUACAUAUAUUAUCUCAUUCACUUUUUACCCCAGCUCUUCAGUCUUGAUAGUAUCAUAUCUAUUUAUGGAUAAAGAAAUUGGGACCCAGAGAGGUAAGGUAGUUCACCCAAAGUGAUGCAGUCGUGUACAGUGGGAUUGGACCUGGGUGUAUCUUGAAGUCCUGACCUUGCCCUGUCAGCCCUGUGGCCUCCAGUUAGAGGUGUGGGGUGGAGGGACUGGGGGAAUCUGGGGCUUGGUGAGGGCUGGGUGUGGAGGGUGUAGCAGAAGGAGGAGUGGGGACUUGGUGAUUCUUGCCGGAGCGAGUGGCUGGCUUGAUGGCGAGGGCGUUGACCCAAGUAGGGGAUUUGGUGAGGAGAAGAACAGGUUAGAGCACAUUACAUUUGCUCGUUUUGCAAGCACUCAGUUUACACACAGUUUUUCUUUUCUUUUUUUUUUUAAUUUUUUUUUUUUUUGUUUAUUCGUUUUUGAAAGACAGAGACAGAGCACAAGCA